rnacentral:rRNA from 1 species
GGUGGGUCUCGAGGCAGGUAGGGGUCGCCGGAACCGUAGGUGGAGCGGUGAAAUGCGUAGAUAUCUACGGGAACGCCGAUGGUGAAGACGGGCGACUGGGCCUGUCCUGACGCUGAGGCACGAAAGCGUGGGGAGCAAACAGGAUUAGAUACCCUGGUAGUCCACGCCGUAAACGAUGCGCGCUAGAUCGGUGCGGCUCUGACGCCGUAUCGGUCGGAGCAAAAGCGAUAAGCGCGCCGCCUGGGGAGUACGGUCGCAAGGCUAAAACUCAAAGGAAUUGACGGGGGCUCACACAAGCGGUGGAGCAUGUUGCUUAAUUCGAUGCAACGCGAAGAACCUUACCUGGGUUUGACAUGGCCGGAUUAACCCCCGGAAACGGGGGCCACACCCGCAAGGGUGGAACGGUCACAGGUGCUGCAUGGCUGUCGUCAGCUCGUGCUGUGAAGUGUCGGGUUAAGUCCCUUAACGAGCGCAACCCCUGUCGUUAGUUGCUCGGCGCAAGCCAGUACUCUAGCGAGACUGCCGUUGUAAGACGGAGGAAGGUGGGGAUGACGUCAAGUCCUCAUGGCCCUUAUGUCCAGGGUUGCAAACGUGCUACAAUGGCGCGCACAAAGCGACGCGAGGCCGCGAGGCGGAGCAAAUCGCAAAAAUCGCGCCCCAGUUCGGAUUGCAGGCUGCAACUCGCCUGCAUGAAGUCGGAAUCGCUAGUAAUCGGGGAUCAGCUACGCCCCGGUGAAUGUGUUCCUGAGCCUUGUACACACCGCCCGUCAAGUCAUGGAAGCCGGGAGCGCCCAAAGUCGCCGUAUCUCAACGGUGCCUACGGCAAGCUCGGUGACUGGGACUAAGUCGUAACAAGGUAGCC